rnacentral:rRNA from 1 species
AGAGUUUGAUCAUGGCUCAGGAUGAACGCUGGCGGCGUGCUUUAGGCAUGCAAGUCGAACGCUCCGUCUUCGGGCGGAGAGUGGCAGACGGGUGAGUGACGCGUAGGAAUCUACCCUUUGGUUAAGGAUAGCCCCGAGAAAUCGGGAGUAAUCCUGGAUAAGCCCCGCCGUUUUUGAUAGGAGACGAACUUUGGUGGUUCGUCUUUUGCCGAAAACGGCUGGGGAAAGGCCGUAACUGGUCGCCGAAGGAGGAGCCUGCGUCCUAUCAGCUUGUUGGUGAGGUAAUGGCUUACCAAGGCGACGACGGGUAGGGGACGUGAGAGCGUGACCCCCCACAAUGGGAUUGAGAUACGGCCCAUACACCUACGGGUGGCAGCAACCAGGAAUCGUUCGCAAUGGGCGAAAGCCUGACGACGCGACGCCGCGUGCGGGAUGAAGGCCUUCGGGUUGUAAACCGCUGUGGUUAGGGAAAAGAGAGGAUGGUACCUGACUAGAAAGCCCCUGCUAACUACGUGCCAGAAGCCUCGGUGAAACGUGGGGGGCAAGCGUUAUCCGGAUUUAUUGGGCGUAAAGAGUUCGUAGGCGGUUUUUUAAGCCACGAGUUAAAUCCUUCGGCUCAACCGAAGACCGGCUCGUGAUACUGAAAGACUUGAACCUCGUAGGGGAUGCUGGAAUUUGCGGUGUAGCAGUGAAAUGCGUUGAUACCGCAAGGAACGUCGAGGGCGAAGGCAGGCAUCUGGGCGAGUGUUGACGCUAAGGAACGAAAGCUAGGGUAGCAAAUCGGAUUAGAGACCCGAGUAGUCCUAGCCGUAAACGAUCCUCGCUA